rnacentral:rRNA from 1 species
AUGGCUCAGUGAGGCCUUCGGACUGGCUCAGGGAGGUCGGCAACGACCACCCAGAGCCGGAAAGUUGGUCAAACUUGGUCAUUUAGAGGAAGUAAAAGUCGUAACAAGGUUUCCGUAGGUGAGUAAACGAAC